rnacentral:rRNA from 1 species
UUAAAGGAAUUGACGGGGCCGCACAAGCGGAGGAACAUGUGGUUUAAUUCGAUGAUACGCGAGGAACCUUACCUGGGCUUAAAUGUAGAGUGCAUUUUUUAGAGAUAGAAAUUCCCUUCGGGGCUUUUCUGCAAGGUGCUGCAUGGUUGUCGUCAGCUCGUGCCGUGAGGUGUCGGGUUAAGUCCCAUAACGAGCGCAACCCUUAUCGUUAGUUGCCAGCUGGUAAAGCAGGGGACUCUAGCGAAACUGCCACCGUAAGGUGAGAGGAAGGUGGGGAUGACGUCAAGUCCUCAUGGCCCUUAUGGGUAGGGCUUCACACGUCAUACAAUGGUCGGUACAGAGGGUUGCCAAGCCGCGAGGCGGAGCCAAUCCCACAAAGCCGAUCGUAGUCCGGAUUGUUCUCUGCAACUCGAGAGCAUGAAGUCGGAAUCGCUAGUAAUCGCAGGUCAGCAUACUGUGGUGAAUACGUUCCCGGGUCUU